UAGGGAAUCUUCGGCAAUGGACGAAAGUCUGACCGAGCAACGCCGCGUGAGUGAAGAAGGUUUUCGGAUCGUAAAACUCUGUUGUUAGAGAAGAACAAGGACGUUAGUAACUGAACGUCCCCUGACGGUAUCUAACCAGAAAGCCACGGCUAACUACGUGCCAGCAGCCGCGGUCAUACGUAGGUGGCAAGGGUUGUCCGGAUUUAUUGGGCGUAAAGCGAGCGCAGGCGGUUUCUUAAGUCUGAUGUGAAAGCCCCCGGCUCAACCGGGGAGGGUCAUUGGAAACUGGGAGACUUGAGUGCAGAAGAGGAGAGUGGAAUUCCAUGUGUAGCGGUGAAAUGCGUAGAUAUAUGGAGGAACACCAGUGGCGAAGGCGGCUGUCUGGUCUGUAACUGACGCUGAGGCUCGAAAGCGUGGGGAGCAAACAGG
rnacentral:rRNA from 1 species